AUAAUACAUCAAUAUAAACGAUAAAUAUAUAUAAAAUGUCAACUAUCUAUAAGAAGGAAUAAAAGCUCUGUGUCACGUGCAGCAGUAGAAAAUUUCAGGCUCCCAGGGAAUAAAUAGUUUUCUUUAAAUCAUUUUCGUUUUGGAUUUUUUUUUUUACUCCCGGGUAGCCUGAAAGUUUCUACUGCUGCUUUUUUAUUCUAAAGGUGGAAAGGAAAACCAAGAUCAGAAAUACAAGAAAGGGGAAGGGGAAGGGAAGGAAGGGAAGCAGGAGAGGAAGAGGGAAGGGAAGUGGUGAAAAACAGGGUGAAAAAAGUAAAAAGAGUUGGAGGGAAAAAGAGAGGGCAUCCGGGAAGAGCGGUGCUGCCUCAGGUCCUUCCCCGCCCUGGGGCGAAGGACCCGUUUGAUGCCCGGGAGGGAGUGCAGGUCCCGGUGGCUCCCGGGGGACGGAGCGGUGGCUGUCAGCCCGAGACUCCAACUCCCGGCAGGCCGUGCUGCCGGCGCGGCGUGUGACGCAACGGCUAUCGCGGCACAUGAGUGGCUGUCAGCCCGAGACUCCAACUCCCGGCAGGCCCUGCUGCUGGCGCGGCGUGUGACGCAACGGGCGACGCGGCCCGGCAUUUUUCUCUAAAUCGGCAGUAAAUACAGCUGAGUAAAAUUAGCUUGGUUUUCUUCCUUCUUUUGUAACUGAACUGUUUUUAUUAAAAAUCCUAUUUGAAUAUGUAGAAAAAGUGGGGAUGUCCUGUAAUAUAUCGUAGCUUUUCUUGUUUACAGGGUACUGAGAAAAUACGUCUCCCUUAGAGUCCCGCGGAAAGGUUCUCAGUGCGCUCUCUAUCAAGGAAGUGUUGGAAGUUAGUGUUUUGGGAAAGAAACGGCAGUUCCACAGAACAUUCCAUUUCACAGAGGCUCUGGGAACGAUUCAUGUUUGCUAUGAGUCUUGAUAAAUUGGAGAAGAGCCCAAGAGAAAUUUUUCAUCCCUUGAUAUAAAAGGAUUUAUUGGUUCUGGAAGAACAAGAGGGAAGUACAAGCCUAACUACUUCUAGCUCACAGGCCCGUCCAGUGAACCCAGGGACCGGUGAAUUUUAACUUUGGAGUCCCCUAUGCUAAGGAUGCUCAGCUUACAGGUGAUGAAAUGUUCAGUAAUGUAUUUGCUGCAGCUCUGCUUACCCAAGCUUUGGGUUCCUUCUGUCCCACUGGGAGUUGCCCAGUUUGGUUGCAUCUGGUGAAAUUCACCCUGAGACCUUACAGAACUAGCUCCAACUACGUGAGAGCCAUUUGCAGUUCUCUCCAGACACCUGGAGAAUGGGUGACGUUUCUGAGGAUCCGGCGAGCGUGCUUCUAUCAAAACUCAGUCUGUGAAAUUCCUGGGGAAAACCCUUCUGUGUCCUGAAGGGUUCAAACUCUGGUGAGGAUCCAGUUAUCAGGGGCUCACCUGGAUGGUUCCAGCUCCCAAAGUUAACACUUCUACUCUUGCCCUGUAGUUUACAUCUAUUGUAUUUUUGUUAUUUUGCAACAUUUUUUGUCUUUGCAAAAUAUUGUGCAUUUCACUCUUUGGAACCUCUCAGAUGGUUCUUUGGUGCAGCACCACCCCAGGGGACACUUGGCUGCUGUCCUGAAGGGUUUGGUCGCUAGAAUUGUGAAUCCUGGAGAGUUUGUGAGUCUUCUGUCCCCAGGGAGGUGUCGUGCUUUGUUUACUUUUGUUCUGUUGGUUAGGCGCUGCUUCUCGUUGCAAGUAUGAAUUUCAAACUGCCCUGUUCUUAUUUUAACUGUUUUCCUGGUUCUCUCUGUCCGGCAGGGAAAGACUCUCGUAUCCUUGUCGUCGGGCUCGGUGCUGUCCAAGAAGAUACGGGGACUAAAAAAAUCAUAAGAAGCAAAAUAUGACUGCAGGGAAAAGAAGCUGGAGAGAACAGAAGACUCAUCACGGCGGGACAGCGUGAGGACUGAAAGUGUAAGAAGAUGUGGAGGGAAAGAGAGAAUCUGACAGGAGCAGCGAACGCACGAGUGCAGGAAUUUUGCUUUUUGCUUGGAUGUAAACUCAGGAGUUGAGAGGAAUUUGGGAGUGAGAAGGGACAUUUCAGAAGGAGAAGAAGAAAAAGAGGUUGUUGUUGUUGUUACAGUCCUGGCAAAAUCUUUUGUUCUAGCUAAUAAAAGAAGUUAGUUUAAAAAACAAAAAGGAAAAAAUGUAGUGUUUUUUUUUUCCUUCACUAUGAUAUUCAUUGGUGGUAUAUGGUGUGUUGUUUCAUUUCUUGGUAUUAUUAACUCUGUGUAAAUUGUUUUUUGAGUGAAGCUGACUUUCUGGAUGGGUUGGUUUGUAUUUGAGGCAGGAUUAAUUUCAGUAGGGUUCUUUCAUAGAUUUCUGAUGGGUAUUACUGGGAUUUUGGUUUUGUUUACUGUAUGUAUGAACCUAGAGCUUUGGUAGGGCCAGCUGGGCUGCUGGAGUUUUGGGUGUGAAUUUAUUAGAUGGCUUUUGUUAGAUGCAGUUUUUAAUUUUUGAAAUGUUUUUCAAUGUAGUGGUUUUAAGGUGGUUUUUAAGAAUUCAUUGUAUUGCUUUAUCUUGUUUGUAGUUGGUGUAUGAUAAGGGAUGUGGUGUGAGUUCUUGAACAUUAUGGUUUUGGUGUUCCUAAGUUCUGAUUUCUUUGUGG